rnacentral:lncRNA from 1 species
UUGUUUUGAAAGCGCCAUAAAUCCAGAGAAUGCCAGACUGAUGACAAAAUUUGCCCAGGAAGGACUGCCGUGCCACCGUCCUGUUCAAGUGAGCACAGCACAACAAGGGACUGAAUCUCCUGUCGUCACAGUGGGCCUCGGAGCACAGUAGUAGAUAGCAGUCAGACAGCUGCAGCCUCUGGAUCGUCAAGGGGAUGGAGCUGAAUGUGCCUGGAAUCAAACCUCUUGAACUCAUCGCUAUUGCUCUUCUGAAUAACAAUCCCUUCUAACGCUCCGAGACAGCCGCUUUCCCCUGGCUAUAAGACGUUGAAUAGCUCACUGUGCUCCCAAAGACUCUCCACACUGCCUACCUGCUCUGAAUCAUCCACAGCUCUCUACCCACUCAGACACACACACCAACAGACACUUAUCACGCGCAUACACACAUACAGUACUUACAUGCCUUCGCACACACACUACUGAUGCCACAUACAUACACACAUCUACUCACAACAUAAGCUGCUGCUAUACUGAUGAUUACUAUUACCAUUACGCUGCUGCUCUAUUGAUUAUCCUGUUCAACCCUGACACCCUAUGGUGGCAUUUUCUAAACUACGCAUAAUAUUGUAUGCUACCCUCAAAGUACAUUUUGGUUUCAAAACUAAGACCUACAAACACAUGCUUAGUACUGUUAAAAAUGUAAAACUGCGGGAUUCUGAUAAAGGUGUCUGAAACAAUGUGACUAUUACAGAGCCCAAGAUACAGCAAACCCCCCAAAACUGAAGUGUACACAUUACAUUUUUUAUUUCACCUUUAUUUAACCAGGUAGGCCAGUUGAGAACAAGUUCUCAUUUACAACUGCAACCUGGCCAAGAUAAAGCAAAGCAGUGUGACACAGACAACAACAGAGUUACACAAACAAAUGUACUGUCAAUAACACAAUAGAAAAGAAAAAUAGAAAAAUCUAUAUACAGUGUGUGCAAAUGUAGGGAAGUAGGCAAUGAAUAGGCCAUAGAGGAGAAAAUAAUUACAAUUUAGCAUUAAUACUGGAGUGAUAGAUGUGCAGAUGAUGAUGUGCAAGUAGAGAAACUGGGGUGCAAAAGAACAAGAGGGUAAGUAAUAAUAUGGGGAUGAGGUAGUUGGGUGUGCUUUUUACACAUUGGCUGUUUACAGGUACAGCUGAUGCUUAAAGUUAGAGGGAGAUAUAGGUCUACAGCUUCAGAGAUUUUUGCAAUUCGUUCCUGUCAUUGGCAGCAGAGAACUGGAAGGAAAGGCGGCUAAAGGAAGUGUUAGCUUUGGGGAUGACCAGUGAGAGAUGCCUGCUGGAGCGCGUGCUACAGGUGGAUGUUGCUAUGGUGACCAGUGAGCUGAGAUAAGGCGGGGAUUUACCUAGCAAAGACUUAUA